UGCUGAUUCUGCCUCCAGUGAUGACUCUAUACCGAGAGCUUUGUACCAAGAGUAUGCGCAGAACCAAAAAUAAAGGCUGACUGCUAAUUAAAUAUUCUAAGAUGCAUAGAGUAGGACGAUAUGAGUGCGUUACGUUCAUCCAUAUAAAAAUGGCAGAGCUAUAAUUGGAAAGAAUGUAAGUAAGAUUGAAGUAAACUUUUGGGACUACAAACCAGAAAAACCGCAAUGAUUAGCAGGCUGCAGCCCGUAAUAUGGGAACUAUAAGCUGAAAGCAUACAAUAAUACCAAGCUUCGUUGUCUAGUUCUGUGAAUGAUGAUCAUCUUUUAUUUUGGCAUUUUCAAAUUUUAAA